rnacentral:rRNA from 1 species
GUUCAAGGAUGAAAGACGGUUUCGGCUGUCACUUACAGAUGGACCCGCGGCGCAUUAGCUAGUUGGUGGGGUAAUGGCUCACCAAGGCGACGAUGCGUAGCCGACCUGAGAGGGUGAUCGGCCACACUGGGACUGAGACACGGCCCAGACUCCUACGGGAGGCAGCAGUAGGGAAUCUUCCGCAAUGGACGAAAGUCUGACGGAGCAACGCCGCGUGAGUGAUGAAGGUUUUCGGAUCGUAAAGCUCUGUUGUUAGGGAAGAACAAGUGCGAGAGUAACUGCUCGCACCUUGACGGUACCUAACCAGAAAGCCACGGCUAACUACGUGCCAGCAGCCGCGGUAAUACGUAGGUGGCAAGCGUUGUCCGGAAUUAUUGGGCGUAAAGGGCUCGCAGGCGGUUUCUUAAGUCUGAUGUGAAAGCCCCCGGCUCAACCGGGGAGGGUCAUUGGAAACUGGGAAACUUGAGUGCAGAAGAGGAGAGUGGAAUUCCACGUGUAGCGGUGAAAUGCGUAGAGAUGUGGAGGAACACCAGUGGCGAAGGCGACUCUCUGGUCUGUAACUGACGCUGAGGAGCGAAAGCGUGGGGAGCGAACAGGAUUAGAUACCCUGGUAGUCCACGCCGUAAACGAUGAGUGCUAAGUGUUAGGGGGUUUCCGCCCCUUAGUGCUGCAGCUAACGCAUUAAGCACUCCGCCUGGGGAGUACGGUCGCAAGACUGAAACUCAAAGGAAUUGACGGGGGCCCGCACAAGCGGUGGAGCAUGUGGUUUAAUUCGAAGCAACGCGAAGAACCUUACCAGGUCUUGACAUCCUCUGACAACCCUAGAGAUAGGGCUUUCCCUUCGGGGACAGAGUGACAGGUGGUGCAUGGUUGUCGUCAGCUCGUGUCGUGAGAUGUUGGGUUAAGUCCCGCAACGAGCGCAACCCUUGAUCUUAGUUGCCAGCAU